GAUGAACGCUGGCGGCGUGCCUAAUACAUGCAAGUCGAACGGAAAGGCCCUGCUUUUGUGGCUUGCUCGAGUGGCGAACGGGUGAGUAACACGCGAGUAACCUGCCCUUGACUUUGGGAUAACUCCAGGAAACUGGGGCUAAUACCGGAUAUGAUCUCCUGCUCCAUGGUGGGCGUUGGAAAGUUUCGGCGGUUGGGGAUGGACUCGCGGGUUAUCAGCUUGCUGGUGGGGUAGUGGCUUACCAAGGGUUUGACGGGUAGCCGACCUGAGAGGGUGACCGGCGACAUGACGACUGAGGUACGGCCCAGUAUGCAACGUUAGGCAACAGUGGGGAGUAUUGCAGAAUGGGGGGAAGCCAGAUGCGACAGCGCUGCGAGCGGGAUAACCGCCUUCGGGUUGUAAACCGCUUUCGAAUGUGACGAGGCGUGAGUGACGGUAACGGAUAAAGAAGCACCGGCUAACUACGUG
rnacentral:rRNA from 1 species